GGCAGAAUCAGCAGCGUGAUGAUGAUCCAGAAGCGGCGUUAGGCUGCGUGACAGGGAGUAUGCAGAACUGCAACACUUAUGACCGCUGGAAACACACAUGCAGACAACAGCCAGGCUCCUGAUAAAACGUGAGAGGGAGUCUACACGAUUACUUCAGUGCAGCAGCGUCUUUCGACAUGUUUACCUGCAUCCU